rnacentral:rRNA from 1 species
GACGAACGCUGGCGGCGUGCUUAACACAUGCGAGUCGAACGGAAAGGCCCUGCUUUUGUGGGGUGCUCGAGUGGCGAACGGGUGAGUAACACGUGAGUAACCUGCCCUUGACUUUGGGAUAACUUCAGGAAACUGGGGCUAAUACCGGAUAGGAGCUCCUGCUGCAUGGUGGGGGUUGGAAAGUUUCGGCGGUUGGGGAUGGACUCGCGGCUUAUCAGCUUGUUGGUGGGGUAGUGGCUUACCAAGGCUUUGACGGGUAGCCGGCCUGAGAGGGUGACCGGCCACAUUGGGACUGAGAUAAGGCCCAGACUCCUACGGGAGGCAGCAGUGGGGAAUAUUGCACAAUGGGCGGAAGCCUGAUGCAGCAACGCCGCGUGCGGGAUGACGGCAUUCGGGUUGUAAACCGCUUUCGCCUGUGACGAAGCGUGAGUGACGGUAAUGGGUAAAGAAGCACCGGCUAACUACGUG